AGGCGCGUAGCUCAGUUGGUUAGAGCACCACCUUGACAUGGUGGGGGUCGUUGGUUCGAAUCCAAUCGUGCCUACCA
rnacentral:tRNA from 1 species